AUUGAACGCUGGCGGCAGGCCUAACACAUGCAAGUCGAACGAGUGGCGGACGGGUGAGUAAUGUCUGGGAAACUGCCUGAUGGAGGGGGAUAACUACUGGAAACGGUAGCUAAUACCGCAUACCAUCGGAUGUGCCCAGAUGGGAUUAGCUAGUAGGUGGGGUAAAGGCUCACCUAGGCGACGAUCCCUAGCUGGUCUGAGAGGAUGACCAGCCACACUUGAACUGAGAAAAGGUGCAGACUCCCUCCGGGGGGAGGCGUGGGGAAUAUUGCACAAUGGGCGGCAGCCUGAUGCAGCCAUGCCGCGGGUUUGAAGAAGGCCUUCGGGUUUUAAAGUACUGUCAGCCGGGAGGCGUUACCCGCAGAAGAAGCACCGGCUAACUCCGUGCCAGCAGCCGCGGUAAUUC
rnacentral:rRNA from 1 species